rnacentral:rRNA from 1 species
ACACCCCGAAACUAAGCGAGCUACUCUAAAACAGCCCACAGAGCCAACUCAUCUCUGUUGCAAAAGAGUGAGAAGAUUUUAAAGUAGAGGUGACAUGCCUACCGAGCCUAGAGAUAGCUGGUUAUUCAAAAGACGGAUAUAAGUCCAACUUUAAGUUUUCUCAAUUUUUAUUAAAUACCCAUUAAACUUAAAAGCCAUUCAAAUAAGGUACAGCCUAUUUGAACAAGGAUACAGCCUAUAACACCGGGUAAUGUAUAUUAACGUGACCAAGUAGGCCUAAAAGCAGCCAUCUUUAAAAAAGCGCCUAAGCUUCCCCACUAAAUAUCUUUUAUACCACCACUAAUCUGCAACCCCCAACCACUACUGAAUGACCCCAUAACUAUAUGGAGGGCACCAUGCUAGAACUAGUAACAAGAAGACGAACUUCUCCAUAAUGUAAACAUAAGCCAUAAUAAACCCCUUAUCGGCACUUACCGCUAUAAUUUAUAGUAUAUUUUUACAAGAAAAUCCUACUAAUUCAAGCGCUAACCUUACACCAGA